rnacentral:pre_miRNA from 1 species
AGGACUUGUAUAUAUCAUUGCAUUUUCUGAAAAAGUAUGCAUCCGGAACAUGGUGUUUGGAUAAACUUGGUAAGAUCCUUCAAUGUAAAGAAUUUUCAAAGAAAUGAAAAGUUCGGCAAAUUUUUUACAAGGUGAAUCGCGGAAGCACAAAAAUCAAAAGAAAAUUUUGCUACUUCUAAGGGAUUCAGCUUGUGAAAAAUAGAUCAAAUCUUUUGUUGCUUUGAAUAUUAUUUACACUAAGGAUAUUAGCAAGUUCAUUCAAACACCAUGUUAAGGAUGCAUAAUUUUCACAAAAUACAAUGAUUCAAGUCCUUGACUCC